rnacentral:rRNA from 1 species
UACGGAGGGUGCAAGCGUUAUCCGGAUUCACUGGGUUUAAAGGGUGCGUAGGCGGGUUGGUAAGUCAGUGGUGAAAUCUUCAAGCUUAACUUGGAAACUGCCGUUGAUACUAUCAAUCUUGAAUAUUGUGGAGGUAAGCGGAAUAUGUCAUGUAGCGGUGAAAUGCUUAGAUAUGACAUAGAACACCGAUAGCGAAGGCAGCUUGCUACACGAGCAUUGACACUGAGGCACGAAAGCGUGGGGAUCAAACAGG